AAAUGGUUACGUUCUGCCAUACCACAGGGCAGAAGGCGAGACUGAGAAGCCAAGGAGAAUGCAGACCUCUACCUGGCCCCAAAGUGGACCGGAUCGAUCAGUCACUGGACAAUCCUCAAGUCCCCAAGUCACCAGUGGUCAGCUGAGUGGGAAUCCAAGCACCUAUUCUCAUCAAUAUGGGCCGGUCAGACCAUCUGUGGCGUAUACACUAGGUCAAGAGUCCUCAUGGUUGAACACCAAUAAGCAGCUUGAUGACAUAGACAGGGAGUUUGGAUUCCCAUGGUCACUAAGAUAUGACCAACAGACUCUUCAAAGAGGAGUUGAACAACCAAAACGGAAUUUUACCGGAAAUGAAGAUUCUGCAGACUCUGUCUGUGACAUGCAGACUGAGGUGAUUCAGACAGAGAGACCAGCACCCUCUGAAUCUGAUCCUAAAGAAAUCCAAGGGUCAAGUUUGGCACACAGCUCUACACAGACCCUCUCACCAGUUAAAGAAAGUGAAAGCAUCAUUUUUUGUGACCCAUUUUCCUCCCUGGAGAUCAACGUGCUGCCACCAGAAGAGGCUAUGCGGUUUUUCAAUGGCCAGCUACUGCAAGACAAAGUGGGAGAAGACCAGUUGAAAUUGCCAGUGGAUGUGGAGCUGAAUGAGUUGAAAGAUUACUCCGUGGAGGAUAAAUCAUCUGAGGGAGUAGAUGUAAAGUUGACAACUGUAAAAUACGAAGUGGAUGUCCAAUCGGAAGAUUACUGUUGUCUCUCACGUUGGAAGGCAGUGUUCAGUGGGUCCACCAAUUCUUUGUCCUGCAAAUGCCAGUACAAUACUGAAUUGGGUUUGACAAAGGCCACUGUGAAUGCAAAGAUGUUUGUCGAGGGAACUUUGGCUGUUGAACCGAGCACAACAAAUGCAGAACAAAGGGAAAGCCUGCAUUUAUGUAAAUCCAAUGGCACAGCAGAAGGAAAGAGGGAAGGGAAUGGGAAUCCCCAAUCAUGGAAAUCUACAGGCAUUGAAUGCCAAACUAUUGUCUUGUCUGAUAGUGAAUCUGAGACUGAUCGCCCAUACACUAAUGGGGCGAAGAGCUUGCCAUUGUCAAAACCCCACUCACUGUGCCUGCCCAUCAAGUGCCCAAACAUUGUUGAAGUUGAAAUUGAAGAUGUCUUCUCGAGCUAUGAAGACUUUCUCAAGGUAUCCACCCCAAUGUCCAAGCUAGUGUGCGACAAUGUACAGCCAAAGCAGAAACUACCAGGUCCACUCCAGAAACAAAUGGAACGUGUACAAGCACUUAGUGUCACUUUGGAAGAAAGAAACCUUGGGGGUAGUGAAGUCAUUCCUACAGUUCACAUUCCUACUUCUAAUCUGCUACGCCAACCAGCAGAGAAAAUCAGUUUUCUAACAUCACUCUCCUUGGCACAAAGAUGUCACAAGCAUCUAUCUCCUAAAAUAAAUCGUACCUACAAGGUUAAACAUAAAGGGGUUGGACACAAGAGAUGUGUUGAAGGUCCUCAUUCAAAAUUGUCUGUCCCAAGAAAGCGAAGGAAAAUAAGGGAAGGUUUGGGUCCCUUCAUUCAACUUGUUCCUGAGGUCAACUUGACUGACACAGAUGACGAUUUCGAGCCACCCAAUACAAGUACUUCUAACUCUUUGGAAGUAGAGCGGCCUUCAAACGGUCGCAAUCUCCAGAAGCCAGCAGAACCUGGAAUUAGGACUAAGAUUUCAAGGGUCACCACAGUAAGUCUGGCCUUGUUUGGUUCCUCGCCCCAGAGGACAAAUGGGACUGUAGUAACUGGCCAACGCAAGGACCAUAAUUCUUCUCGACCUAGACCUUUUGCAGACAAAGCUCCAGCACCUCCUCUAACCCUCAGUGUGAAUGUCAAGUCCUGGAAGAUAGAGCCCUCCGAGACCAGCCCGCCAGUGGAAAGCCCAGUCAGACAACGGCUCUUCAACGAGUGGGAGAACAGUUUUGUGCCGACAAAGAAGACAAAGUCCAGGGGCAGAGCAUCAAGACUACGAAGCAGAAGAGGGUUUGCUCCGAAGAUUGUUUGUGCUGAAUUUGCCAAAAAGACUGUUACCUCGACCAGGACAGAUGGUAAUGCAUUAUCCUCUGAAAGACGAGCCACACCAGAAAGAACCAUAAGGGCCAAGCGGACUUUGCGGCACAUUGAAAGAGAGAGAAUCUUAAAUGGCCUGAAACUCAGACUGAAGAAAUCUAGGAUCAAGGCGGUGCCAUCCAGCAAACCUGAUACAGUGGAAAAAAGUACAAAUAAGAUCAGGAGCCCUGCUCUUUUGCCUCUUGAGGAGAACAGUGUUCUGAGGUUCAGUGUGCUGCCAGAGUCGUUCAACUUCAAAGAUGGACAAGAACCCAUGGACACUCGGACACAGACUGGUUCAAUGAAGGAAAUGGCUGGUGCUGGUGCUGUUGCUGUUGCUACGACGACUGAGAGUCCUAAAACAAUAGUCCGGAAAUCCCAAGUAGGUUUAUGGUCUGCUUGCCCUCAGAAGAGAUAUUGUCCUCUCACCUCUUCGACCACUAAAGUCCCCAAGUCUUCCUCCACUGCCUUCCAGGAGUUUCAGAGGAAAUUCAAGCGGCUAUCCCAAGACUAG
rnacentral:lncRNA from 8 species